AUUGAACGCUGGCGGCAGGCCUAACACAUGCAAGUCGAGCGGCUGCAGAGUAAUUGCUCCUGGAUACAGCGGCGGACGGGUGGGUAAUGCAUAGGAACAUGCCUGGCUGCGGGGGCUAACGUCAGGAAACGGGCGCUCAUACCGCAUACGUCCAGAGGGCGUACGUGUGGAAUCAUCGGAUCUCACGCUCUCAGAUGAGCCGAGGUCGGAUUAGCUAGUUGGUGGGGUAAAGGCCUACCAAGGCGACGAUCCGUAACUGGUCUGAGAGGAUGAUCAGCCACACUGGAACUGAGACACGGUCCAGACUCCUACGGGAGGCAGCAGUGGGGAAUAUUGGACAAUGGGCGAAAGCCUGAUCCAGCCAUGCCGCGUGUGUGAAGAAGGUCUUCGGGUUGUAAAGCACUUUUGUUUGGAAAGAAAAGCAGUAAGUUAAUACCUUGCUGUUUUGACGGUACCAACAGAAUAAGCACCGGCUAACUUCGUG
rnacentral:rRNA from 1 species